UACGUAGGGGGCGAGCGUUGUCCGGAAUCAUUGGGCGUAAAGCGCGUGUAGGCGGUCCGAUAAGUUCGCUGUGAAAGUCGGGGGCUUAACCCUCGGAUGCCGGUGGAUACUGCAGGGCUAGAGUCCGGAAGAGGCGAGUGGAAUUCCUGGUGUAGCGGUGAAAUGCGCAGAUAUCGGGAAGAACACCCGUGGCGAAGGCGGUCUCUGGGACGGUGACUGACGCUGAGACGCGAAAGCGUGGGGAGCGAAACAGGAUUG
rnacentral:rRNA from 1 species